rnacentral:rRNA from 2 species
UUAAGCGACUAAGCGUACACGGUGGAUGCCCUGGCAGUCAGAGGCGAUGAAGGACGUGCUAAUCUGCGAUAAGCGUCGGUAAGGUGAUAUGAACCGUUAUAACCGGCGAUUUCCGAAUGGGGAAACCCAGUGUGUUUCGACACACUAUCAUUAACUGAAUCCAUAGGUUAAUGAGGCGAACCGGGGGAACUGAAACAUCUAAGUACCCCGAGGAAAAGAAAUCAACCGAGAUUCCCCCAGUAGCGGCGAGCGAACGGGGAGCAGCCCAGAGCCUGAAUCAGUGUGUGUGUUAGUGGAAGCGUCUGGAAAGGCGCGCGAUACAGGGUGACAGCCCCGUACACAAAAAUGCACAUGCUGUGAGCUCGAUGAGUAGGGCGGGACACGUGGUAUCCUGUCUGAAUAUGGGGGGACCAUCCUCCAAGGCUAAAUACUCCUGACUGACCGAUAGUGAACCAGUACCGUGAGGGAAAGGCGAAAAGAACCCCGGCGAGGGGAGUGAAAAAGAACCUGAAACCGUGUACGUACAAGCAGUGGGAGCACGCUUAGGCGUGUGACUGCGUACCUUUUGUAUAAUGGGUCAGCGACUUAUAUUCUGUAGCAAGGUUAACCGAAUAGGGGAGCCGAAGGGAAACCGAGUCUUAACUGGGCGUUAAGUUGCAGGGUAUAGACCCGAAACCCGGUGAUCUAGCCAUGGGCAGGUUGAAGGUUGGGUAACACUAACUGGAGGACCGAACCGACUAAUGUUGAAAAAUUAGCGGAUGACUUGUGGCUGGGGGUGAAAGGCCAAUCAAACCGGGAGAUAGCUGGUUCUCCCCGAAAGCUAUUUAGGUAGCGCCUCGUGAAUUCAUCUCCGGGGGUAGAGCACUGUUUCGGCAAGGGGGUCAUCCCGACUUACCAACCCGAUGCAAACUGCGAAUACCGGAGAAUGUUAUCACGGGAGACACACGGCGGGUGCUAACGUCCGUCGUGAAGAGGGAAACAACCCAGACCGCCAGCUAAGGUCCCAAAGUCAUGGUUAAGUGGGAAACGAUGUGGGAAGGCCCAGACAGCCAGGAUGUUGGCUUAGAAGCAGCCAUCAUUUAAAGAAAGCGUAAUAGCUCACUGGUCGAGUCGGCCUGCGCGGAAGAUGUAACGGGGCUAAACCAUGCACCGAAGCUGCGGCAGCGACGCUUAUGCGUUGUUGGGUAGGGGAGCGUUCUGUAAGCCUGCGAAGGUGUGCUGUGAGGCAUGCUGGAGGUAUCAGAAGUGCGAAUGCUGACAUAAGUAACGAUAAAGCGGGUGAAAAGCCCGCUCGCCGGAAGACCAAGGGUUCCUGUCCAACGUUAAUCGGGGCAGGGUGAGUCGACCCCUAAGGCGAGGCCGAAAGGCGUAGUCGAUGGGAAACAGGUUAAUAUUCCUGUACUUGGUGUUACUGCGAAGGGGGGACGGAGAAGGCUAUGUUGGCCGGGCGACGGUUGUCCCGGUUUAAGCGUGUAGGCUGGUUUUCCAGGCAAAUCCGGAAAAUCAAGGCUGAGGCGUGAUGACGAGGCACUACGGUGCUGAAGCAACAAAUGCCCUGCUUCCAGGAAAAGCCUCUAAGCAUCAGGUAACAUCAAAUCGUACCCCAAACCGACACAGGUGGUCAGGUAGAGAAUACCAAGGCGCUUGAGAGAACUCGGGUGAAGGAACUAGGCAAAAUGGUGCCGUAACUUCGGGAGAAGGCACGCUGAUAUGUAGGUGAAGCGACUUGCUCGUGGAGCUGAAAUCAGUCGAAGAUACCAGCUGGCUGCAACUGUUUAUUAAAAACACAGCACUGUGCAAACACGAAAGUGGACGUAUACGGUGUGACGCCUGCCCGGUGCCGGAAGGUUAAUUGAUGGGGUUAGCCGCAAGGCGAAGCUCUUGAUCGAAGCCCCGGUAAACGGCGGCCGUAACUAUAACGGUCCUAAGGUAGCGAAAUUCCUUGUCGGGUAAGUUCCGACCUGCACGAAUGGCGUAAUGAUGGCCAGGCUGUCUCCACCCGAGACUCAGUGAAAUUGAACUCGCUGUGAAGAUGCAGUGUACCCGCGGCAAGACGGAAAGACCCCGUGAACCUUUACUAUAGCUUGACACUGAACAUUGAGCCUUGAUGUGUAGGAUAGGUGGGAGGCUUUGAAGUGUGGACGCCAGUCUGCAUGGAGCCGACCUUGAAAUACCACCCUUUAAUGUUUGAUGUUCUAACGUUGACCCGUAAUCCGGGUUGCGGACAGUGUCUGGUGGGUAGUUUGACUGGGGCGGUCUCCUCCUAAAGAGUAACGGAGGAGCACGAAGGUUGGCUAAUCCUGGUCGGACAUCAGGAGGUUAGUGCAAUGGCAUAAGCCAGCUUGACUGCGAGCGUGACGGCGCGAGCAGGUGCGAAAGCAGGUCAUAGUGAUCCGGUGGUUCUGAAUGGAAGGGCCAUCGCUCAACGGAUAAAAGGUACUCCGGGGAUAACAGGCUGAUACCGCCCAAGAGUUCAUAUCGACGGCGGUGUUUGGCACCUCGAUGUCGGCUCAUCACAUCCUGGGGCUGAAGUAGGUCCCAAGGGUAUGGCUGUUCGCCAUUUAAAGUGGUACGCGAGCUGGGUUUAGAACGUCGUGAGACAGUUCGGUCCCUAUCUGCCGUGGGCGCUGGAGAACUGAGGGGGGCUGCUCCUAGUACGAGAGGACCGGAGUGGACGCAUCACUGGUGUUCGGGUUGUCAUGCCAAUGGCACUGCCCGGUAGCUAAAUGCGGAAGAGAUAAGUGCUGAAAGCAUCUAAGCACGAAACUUGCCCCGAGAUGAGUUCUCCCUGACUCCUUGAGAGUCCUGAAGGAACGUUGAAGACGACGACGUUGAUAGGCCGGGUGUGUAAGCGCAGCGAUGCGUUGAGCUAACCGGUACUAAUGAACCGUGAGGCUUAACCUU